GGUGCGAUAUUUUGGCAUGAAGGGCCUUCUUCAAGACCCGGGUCGAAUUUUUGGGAACCCUCGGGGAAUGAGGGUU
rnacentral:snRNA from 1 species